rnacentral:rRNA from 1 species
GACGAACGCUGGCGGCGUGCUUAACACAUGCAAGUCGAACGGAAAGGCCCCCACCUUGGUGGGGGUGCCCGAGUGGCGAACGGGUGAGUAACACGUGGGUGAUCUGCCCUGUACUUCGGGAUAAGCUUGGGAAACUGGGUCUAAUACCGGAUAGGACCAUGGUUUAGUGUCUCAUGGUGGAAAAAUUAUUGUUUUGGUGCAGGAUGAGCUCGCGGCCUAUCAGCUUGUUGGUGGGGUAAUGGCCUACCAAGGCGUCGACGGGUAGCCGGCCUGAGAGGGUGGACGGCCACAUUGGGACUGAGAUACGGCCCAGACUCCUACGGGAGGCAGCAGUGGGGAAUAUUGCACAAUGGGCGCAAGCCUGAUGCAGCGACGCCGCGUGGGGGAUGACGGCCUUCGGGUUGUAAACUCCUUUCGUUAGGGACGAAGCCACACCUUUUUUGGGUGUGGUGACGGUACCUUUGUUAAGAAGCACCGGCUAACUACGUG